rnacentral:rRNA from 1 species
GUCUACUGAAUUCUCUUCGGAGAUAGUAAGGUGGCGGACGGGUGAGUAACACGUAAAGACUUGCCCUGCAGUCUGGGACAACUAUUGGAAACGAUAGCUAAUACCGGAUAUUGCUGCAUGGCGAAAGCUGUAUGCGCUGCAGGAGAGCUUUGCGUCCCAUUAGUUAGUUGGUGAGGUAACGGCUCACCAAGACCGCGAUGGGUAGCCGGCCUGAGAGGGUGAACGGCCACAAGGGGACUGAGACACGGCCCUUACUCCUACGGGAGGCAGCAGUGGGGAAUAUUGGACAAUGGACCAAAGUCUGAUCCAGCAAUUCUGUGUGCACGAUGACGGUCUUAGGAUUGUAAAGUGCUUUCAAUCGGGAAAAAGAAAGUGAUGGUACCGAUAGAAGAAGCGACGGCUAAAUACGUGCCAGCAGCCGCGGUAAUACGUAUGUCGCAAGCGUUAUCCGGAUUUAUUGGGCGUAAAGCGCGUCUAGGCGGUCUGGUAAGUCUGAUGUGGAAAUGCGGGGCUCAACUCCGUAUUGCGUUGGAAACUGCCAGACUAGAGUACUGGAGAGGUGGGCGGAACUACAAGUGUAGAGGUGAAAUUCGUAGAUAUUUGUAGGAAUGCCGAUAGAGAAGUCAGCUCACUGGACAGAUACUGACGCUGAAGCGCGAAAGCAUGGGGAGCA